AUUGAACGCUGGCGGCAGGCCUAACACAUGCAAGUCGAGCGGAUGAAGGGAGCUUGCUCCUGGAUUCAGCGGCGGACGGGUGAGUAAUGCCUAGGAAUCUGCCUGGUAGUGGGGGAUAACGUCCGGAAACGGGCGCUAAUACCGCAUACGUCCUGAGGGAGAAAGUGGGGGAUCUUCGGACCUCACGCUAUCAGAUGAGCCUAGGUCGGAUUAGCUAGUUGGUGGGGUAAAGGCCUACCAAGGCGACGAUCCGUAACUGGUCUGAGAGGAUGAUCAGUCACACUGGAACUGAGACACGGUCCAGACUCCUACGGGAGGCAGCAGUGGGGAAUAUUGGACAAAGGGCGAAAGCCUGAUCCAGCCAUGCCGCGUGUGUGGAGAAGGUCUUCGGAUUGUAAAGCACUUUAAGUUGGGAGGAAGGGCAGUAAGUUAAUACCUUGCUGUUUUGACGUUACCAACAGAAUAAGCACCGGCUAACUUCGUG
rnacentral:rRNA from 1 species